UGGGGAAUAUUGGACAAUGGGCGAAAGCCUGAUCCAGCCAUGCCGCGUGUGUGAAGAAGGUCUUCGGAUUGUAAAGCACUUUAAGUUGGGAGGAAGGGUUGUAGAUUAAUACUCUGCAAUUUUGACGUUACCGACAGAAUAAGCACCGGCUAACUCUGUGCCAGCAGCCGCGGUAAUACAGAGGGUGCAAGCGUUAAUCGGAAUUACUGGGCGUAAAGCGCGCGUAGGUGGUUUGUUAAGUUGGAUGUGAAAUCCCCGGGCUCAACCUGGGAACUGCAUUCAAAACUGACUGACUAGAGUAUGGUAGAGGGUGGUGGAAUUUCCUGUGUAGCGGUGAAAUGCGUAGAUAUAGGAAGGAACACCAGUGGCGAAGGCGACCACCUGGACUGAUACUGACACUGAGGUGCGAAAGCGUGGGGAGCAAACAGGAUUAGAUACCCCCGUAGUCCCUGAGCGGGCUGGCAAGGCGCAU
rnacentral:rRNA from 1 species